UAGCGGCAGGCUUAAUACAUGCAAGGUCGUGGGCAGCAGGUUUGUAGCAAUACAGAUGCUGGCGACCGGCAAACGGGUGCGGAACACGUACAGACCUCCUUUGAGCGGGGAAUAGCCCAGAGAAAUUUGGAUUAAUACCCCAUAGUAUAAUGAAGUGGCAUCACUUUAUUGUUAAAGAUUUAUCACUCGAAGAUGGCUGUGCGGCUGAUUAGGUAGUUGGCGGGGUAAAGGCCCACCAAGCCUGCGAUCAGUAACUGGUGUGAGAGCACGACCAGUCACACGGGCACUGAGACACGGGCCCGACUCCUACGGGAGGCAGCAGUAAGGAAUAUUGGUCAUUGGAGGCAACUCUGAACCAGCCAUGCCGCGUGGAGGAUGAAGGUCCUCUGGAUUGUAAACUUCUUUAUAUGGGACGAAAAAAGGCUUUUCUAAGUCGUCUGACGGUACCAUAUGAAUAAGCACCGGCUAACUCCGUG
rnacentral:rRNA from 1 species